rnacentral:rRNA from 1 species
CACGUAGGGCGCAAGCGUUGUCCGGAAUUAUUGGGCGUAAAGAGCUCGUAGGCGGUCUGUCGCGUCUGCUGUGAAAUCCCGAGGCUCAACCUCGGGCUUGCAGUGGGUACGGGCAGGCUAGAGUGCGGUAGGGGAGAAUGGAACUCCUGGUGUAGCGGUGGAAUGCGCAGAUAUCAGGAAGAACACCGAUGGCGAAGGCAGUUCUCUGGGCCGUAACUGACGCUGAGGAGCGAAAGCGUGGGGAGCGAACAGG